GCUUGUCUCAAAGAUUAAGCCAUGCAUGUCUAAGUAUAAACAAAUCUAUACUGUGAAACUGCGAAUGGCUCAUUAUAUCAGUUAUAGUUUAUUUGAUGGUUCUUGCUACUUGGAUAACCGUAGUAAUUCUAGAGCUAAUACAUGCACAAAAUCCCGACUUACGAAGGGAUGUAUUUAUUAGAUACAAACCAACAUCGUGGUGAUUCAUAAUAACUUUGCGAAUCGUAUGCCUCACGGCGACGAUGAAUCAUUCAAAUUUCUGCCCUAUCAACUUUCAACCGUAAGGUAGUGGCCUACGGUGGUGGUAACGGGUGACGGAGGAUUAGGGUUCGAUUCCGGAGAGGGAGCCUGAGAAACGGCUACCACAUCCAAGGAAGGCAGCAGG
rnacentral:rRNA from 1 species